rnacentral:rRNA from 1 species
UGGGGAAUUUUGCACAAUGGGGGAAACCCUGAUGCAGCGACGCCGCGUGAUUUAGAAGGCCUUCGGGUUGUAAAAAUCUUUUCUAUGGGAAGAAAAUGACAGUACCAUAGGAAUAAGGACCGGCUAAUUACGUGCCAGCAGCCGCGGUAAUACGUAAGGUCCGAGCGUUGUCCGGAAUCAUUGGGCGUAAAGGGUACGUAGGCGGGUAAGCAAGUUAGAAGUGAAAUCCUAUAGCUCAACUAUAGUAAGCUUUUAAAACUGCUCAUCUUGAGGGAUGGAAGGGAAAGUGGAAUUCCUAGUGUAGCGGUGAAAUGCGCAGAUAUUAGGAGGAAUACCGGUGGAGAAGGCGACUUUCUGGCCAUAACCUGACGCUGAGGUACGAAAGCGUGGGUAGCAAACAGG